GAGACACCCUUAUGGGGCAGGACUUGCUUCAGUGGGGCUUUGGUGCUCACUGAGUCUGUACCUUGAGUGUGUCACU
rfam:Myotis brandtii contig232465, whole genome shotgun sequence.